AAUGAACGCUGGCGGCGUGCUUAACACAUGCAAGUCGCACGAGAACGCUUCAGCUUGCUGAAGUAAGUAAAGUGGCGAACGGGUGAGUAACGCGUGGGUAAUCUACCCCCGAAUUGGGGAUAACAUCGCGAAAGUGAUGCUAAUACCGAAUGACAUCCUGAAAAUUUAUGUUUUCAGGAUCAAAGGUGGCCUCUACAUGUAAGCUAUUGUUUGGGGAUGAGCCCGCGUACCAUUAGCUUGUUGGUAGGGUAACGGCCUACCAAGGCAACGAUGGUUAGCUGGUCUGAGAGGAUGAUCAGCCACACUGGAACUGACACACGGUCCAGACUCCUACGGGAGGCAGCAGUGAGGAAUUUUGCGCAAUGGGGGAAACCCUGACGCAGCAACGCCGCGUGAGUGAUGAAGGCUUUCGGGUCGUAAAGCUCUGU
rnacentral:rRNA from 1 species